rnacentral:rRNA from 1 species
UCGAAUUGAAGGCUGAAAUUCGCCUUCAUGAAGUCGGAAUUGCUAGUAAUGGCAGGUCAGCAUACUGCCGUGAAUACGUUCCCGGGCCUUGUACACACCGCCCGUCACACCAUGAGAGUUGGAGAUACCCGAAGCCUGUGAGCUAACUUUUAGAGGCAGCAGUCGAAGGUAGAAUCAAUGAUUGGGGUGAAGUCGUAACAAGGUACC